CCUACGGGGGGCAGCAGUGAGGAAUAUUGGUCAAUGGACGAGAGUCUGAACCAGCCAAGUAGCGUGAAGGAUGACUGCCCUAUGGGUUGUAAACUUCUUUUAUAUGGGAGUAAAAUGUUCCACGUGUGGGAUUUUGUAUGUACCGUAUGAAUAAGGAUCGGCUAACUCCGUGCCAGCAGCCGCGGUAAUACGGAGGAUCCGAGCGUUAUCCGGAUUUAUUGGGUUUAAAGGGAGCGUAGGUGGUUUGUUAAGUCAGGUGUGAAAGUGUGAGGCUCAACCGUAAAAUUGCAGUUGAUACUGGCAGUCUAGAGGACAGUAGAGGUAGGCGGAAUGCGUGGUGUAGCGGUGAAAUGCGUAGAUAUCACGAAGAACUCCGAGGGCGAAGGCAGCUUACUGGACUGCAACUGACACUGAGGCUCGAAAGUGUGGGGAUCAAACAGGAUUAGAUACCCCGGUAGUC
rnacentral:rRNA from 1 species